UCCUUCUUCUACCGAAAGACUGAUCUAGGGACUAAGGUUUAGCACUUUUACAAGUUCAUAGUGACCUUACAUAGGUCAGGCGGGGAGUGUGUUGUCCUGUAAGGACUUUAAUAUUUAUAUGUGUGCUUUAAAUAUUUUUGAUAAAUAUUCCUCUAUAAAAAUGUAAAGUUUAUAAUUACUUUAUCUACUUAAGUUGUAAAAAUAUAUGGUUCGUUUUAUGCGAUGUCACUUCCGGUUUUGCUACUUCCGGUUUCGCCACUUCCGGUUAGCGCUCAGUGCUCAAUCUUGCAAUGAAACCGGCAUGGCGUGCUCUUUAUAGUAUCCAGCGCAUCCACUAAAAACAUCAUAGAGGCAAUGCCUUUUCACCGUACAAUGUAAAUGAGAGAGUGACAGUAAAGGGUAAAUCUUA